rnacentral:rRNA from 1 species
GAUGAACGCUAGCGGCAGGCCUAACACAUGCAAGUCGAACGGUAACAUGAAGUGCUUGCACUUUGAUGACGAGUGGCGCACGGGUGCGUAACGCGUAUACAAUCUACCUUUUACAGGAGGAUAGCCUUUAGAAAUGAAGAUUAAUACUCCAUGGUAAGUAGUGAUGGCAUCAUUAUUACUUUAAAGCUUCGGUGGUAAAAGAUGAGUAUGCGUUCUAUUAGCUAGAUGGUGUGGUAACGGCAUACCAUGGCAACGAUAGAUAGGGGCCCUGAGAGGGGGAUCCCCCACACUGGUACUGAGACGCGGACCAG